GUCCUAGUUACCAGCACGUUAUGGUGGGCACUCUAAGGAGGACUGCCGGUGGCAAACCGGAGGAAGUGGGGAUGACGUCAAGUCAUCAUGGCCCUUACGGCCUGGGCUACACACGUGCUACAAUGGUCGGUACAAAGGGUUGCCAAGCCGCGAGGUGGAGCUAAUCCCAUAAAACCGAUCGUAGUCCGGAUCGCAGUCUGCAACUCGACUGCGUGAAGUCGGAAUCGCUAGUAAUCGUGAAUCAGAAUGUCACGGUGAAUACGUUCCCGGGCCUU
rnacentral:rRNA from 1 species